rnacentral:lncRNA from 1 species
UGUGUUAUUAGUAGACCACCAAUGAGGAAUGACUCAGAGGAAGAAGUAGUUUACACAAAGCUUGAGUUUUGUAACUGAACAUUAUUAUUUGUGAUCCAUUUCUUGCUCAUGAAGACAAAAAAAGUUAACUUUUUUUUUUUUCUGUCCCACUUUUCUAUCUCUGAGGCUCCAAGUUUUGGAGACAGUGUUUACCUAGCAUAAGUCACUACAAGUUUCAUAAACUGGGCAUAAGAUGGUACGAUGUGAAAUCUUAGUAAAAGUCUGUUGUAAUACAACAGUUUCAUUAGGUUUAUUUGGCCAUAGAGACAAAUAGAUUGUCCAUUUCAAAUUGAUUAAUAAGACACCUGGGAAUAUUUACUUGACUGUAUCAAAGCCCGAAGUCUUCGUUUGUGUGAUCUCUUCAGGAUUGUGUUUUUACUUGGAGCGAUAUGCUACUUUUCUGUAUGAUUGGGAAAUAAAGCCUUUAGGCCACGGGGGACGUCACGGCCCUCUGGAUUCCCCUGAAAUAUCCAGGCCCCUUCACUCUGUGAUCUUGCACUUGAAGCAUGUGCUGCUGUUGGCUCAGCACUUCUCAUUAGGUACUGAAAAAGCCUCUGGUCUGGAUGACAAGCCCUGCCAGUCCUUUAGGUAAUAUUCCUUUUCCUCCUCUUGCUUCCUACAGAAAACUGACUUUAUUCAGGGUAUGGAAGCUCACAGUUUAAAUGCUCAGAUUCUUUCACUAUUUUGGGUAAUGAGAUAUAAGUGAGCCUACUUACCUUCCAUUGGCAAUUGUAGGAGAACUGUCAUUUUCCUGAUAAAUCGAUGAUCAAAUCAGAUGACCCACACCCUUUGUGUUUACCCUUCAGAAAGAGCGGCAGCUAUCCUGCAGGCACGAAAAUGAAAGCCAUACACUAAGAGUGGCUGCACUUUGAGGGAUUUUGGAGCUGAUCAAAAAAAAAAAAACAACAACAACGAUAUGGUCUCCAGGCAUAGUAAUCCAUAACACACUUGACUGGGCCACACUUGGACAGGAUUGCAUAAAAUGGGCUCACAACGUGGGGCUAUCCCAGAAGCUCACAGUAAGGAGGGGCACUGCCUAGCAGAGGAGGGCAAGGAGACUCCCCGAGGAGAUGGGGAUUAGAGACACAUCUCAUGGGCCCAACUGAUGUACUCCAGCAGCACAGCAGUAGGGAGUCUGUGGGUCAGAGAGCCCCAAAGGGCCGUAACAGCUCCAGGUCUUAUAACCACAAGGCUCUGUACCAUCUAUUGCUAGCAGAUGUAGAUUGAGGUUUGGGAGGUGUGCAAAGCAGGGAGGCUCUAAGUGGCUAAUGAUUGACUAAUUUGGACUAUAGUUAAAAUAAUUUCAUGUAUUAAGUACU